AUUGAACGCUGGCGGCAUGCUUUACACAUGCAAGUCGAACGGCAGCGCGGGCUUCGGCCUGGCGGCGAGUGGCGAACGGGUGAGUAAUACAUCGGAACGUGCCCAGUAGUGGGGGAUAGCUCGGCGAAAGCCGGAUUAAUACCGCAUACGACCUGAGGGUGAAAGCGGGGGAUCUUCGGACCUCGCGCUAUUGGAGCGGCCGAUGGCAGAUUAGCUAGUUGGUGGGGUAAAGGCCUACCAAGACGACGAUCUGUAGCUGGUCUGAGAGGACGACCAGCCACACUGGGACUGAGACACGGCCCAGACUCCUACGGGAGGCAGCAGUGGGGAAUUUUGGACAAUGGGCGAAAGCCUGAUCCAGCAAUGCCGCGUGUGUGAUGAAGGCCUUCGGGUUGUAAAGCACUUUUGGCGGGAACGAAAAGGACUGUGCCAAUACCACGGUUCGAUGACGGUACCCGCAGAAUAAGCACCGGCUAACUACGUG
rnacentral:rRNA from 1 species